GAAGCCUCUUUGGCUUCUUUUAUGCCAGCCUCACUCUCUUCUGCCUCCUGUUGCCUUCUGUGAAAAGACUUCCCUGCUGCCUCUCCAGAGUGUGCUCAUUCUUCCUAAGCAGCCAGAUUCUUCAGGAGGACAGGAAGCAGGUUGAAUGCUAAAGGACAUGGCAGGAACUUUUCUCCAGCAGUUCCUCAGGAACAAAUGGGAAAAGCCAUGUGACCAUGACAGAGCUACUUUGCCCCAUGCCCCACAGUGCUGGCCUUUGGAUGCUAAGCGGAGCUGUUCCUGGACUUGUCUUCAGCAAGUACUUUGUGACAUUCUUAGAGACCCUUUGAGAUCAAAGUCAUGAGGGAGGUCUCAGUUAUUCUUGCUCUGUGAAACAGUUAUGAGAUUACCCUCCUUGUCUACUGGGGGCAGACAGUCAUGGCACCUCAGAACACUGCCACAGAAAGAAAAUGAGAAAAAACUUCACUUCUCGGUUCCUGGAUGCCAUCAGCAUAGCAGCAAAUACAGCCGCUGUCUCCAGCUGAUUUCAUGUAAUGUGAUAACACUCAUGA
rnacentral:lncRNA from 1 species